UCCGGAGUGGCGCAAUGGUAGCGCAAGCGGCUGUUAACCGCUGUGUUACAGGUUCGAGUCCUGUCUCCGGAGCCA
rnacentral:tRNA from 2 species